rnacentral:rRNA from 1 species
UAGAGUUUGAUCAUGGCUCAGGACGAACGCUGGCGGCGUGCUUAACACAUGCAAGUCGAACGAUGAAGCCCAGCUUGCUGGGUGGAUUAGUGGCGAACGGGUGAGUAACACGUGAGUAACCUGCCCUUGACUCUGGGAUAAGCGCUGGAAACGGCGUCUAAUACCGGAUACGACCUGCCCCGGCAUCGGGUGCGGGUGGAAAGUUUUUCGGUCAAGGAUGGACUCGCGGCCUAUCAGCUUGUUGGUGAGGUAAUGGCUCACCAAGGCGACGACGGGUAGCCGGCCUGAGAGGGUGACCGGCCACACUGGGACUGAGACACGGCCCAGACUCCUACGGGAGGCAGCAGUGGGGAAUAUUGCACAAUGGGCGAAAGCCUGAUGCAGCAACGCCGCGUGGGGGAUGACGGCCUUCGGGUUGUAAACCUC